GUCCACGCCGUAAACGUUGGGCACUAGGUGUGGGGUUCUAUCGACGGAUUCCGUGCCGUAGCUAACGCAUUAAGUGCCCCGCCUGGGGGAGUACGGCCGCAAGGCUAAAAACUCAAAGGAAUUGACGGGGCCCGCACAAGCGGCGGAGCAUGUGGCUUAAUUCGAUGCGACGCGAAGAACCUUACCUGGGUUUGACAUGUGGGGAAAAAGCCGUAGAGAUACGGUGUCCUUCGGGGCCCCAUACAGGUGGUGCAUGGCUGUCGU
rnacentral:rRNA from 1 species